CCUACGGGUGGCAGCAGUGAGGAAUAUUGGUCAAUGGGCGCUAGCCUGAACCAGCCAAGUCGCGUGAAGGAUGACUGUCCUAUGGGUUGUAAACUUCUUUUAUCUGGGAGUAAAAUGCAGUAUGUAUACCGCUUUGCAUGUACCUUAUGAAUAAGGAUCGGCUAACUCCGUGCCAGCAGCCGCGGUAAUACGGAGGGUCCGAGCUUUAUCCGGUUUUAUUGGGUUUAAAGGGAGCGUAGGCGGGUUGUUAAGUCAGUUGGGAAAGUUUGCGGCUCAACCGUAAAAUUGCCGUUGAUACUGGCAUCCUUGAGUACAGUAGAGGGAGGCGGAAUGCGUGGUGUAGCGGUGAAAUGCUUAGAUAUCACGAAGAACUCCGAUUGCGAAGGCAGCCUGCUGGACUGUAACUGACGCUGAUGCUCGAAAGUGUGGGUAUCAAACAGGAUUAGAUACCCCAGUAGUC
rnacentral:rRNA from 1 species